CCAACGGCUCUUUUCAGAGCCACCCACUUAACUCUUAUGAGAGUUG
rfam:Amazona aestiva scaffold_3079, whole genome shotgun sequence.